GCAGCAACGGAAAGGCGCCACGCUCGUGAGGGGAACCAGCGUUCCGGGGGCGCUUAGUGUGGGGCAGGCAGGAAGCCUGGCUCCACUAGGACACACAGAUUCUCUCCUGAGCAGCUGCGAACUAUGCGCCCCUUCUACCCUUAAGAGAUGGGAUGGGAGUCCAACAAACGCAGCCAUUGCUCAGACCCCAGCCCUUCUCUCCUGUAAGAAGCAGGUUCACCUCUGCCACCGCACUCGCAUUUUUUUUUUUUAAGCCCGGCCUUUCCUAGGCGGGGUCAAGGGCCCCGCCCGCCGAAGCCACGCCCAUAGCCGCCCCGGGGCGGGGCUCCCCUCGGCUCCCGGCUGCCCUUUCCCCUCCGGCCUCUACCAGUGCUGCUGCGCCCUGCGGAGCUCCGAACACGUGCGCAGAGGCCAGCUGUGGCAGAUGCAACUGCAGGAUGACUUGGAAGUAGAGCAUCCUUCACCCAUCUGAAGAGAGGAAAUAGUGGCAGGUGACAGUCUGCAUGUGUGGUUUUCAGAUACCUUCACCUGAAUAUCAUCUACCUCCAUCAUGACCCCAGAUGUCUGACAGGCCUGUGUGACACCAAGAUAAGUAAUCUCCAGCUCUCAACAGAAGACUUUCUCACAGAGAAAACUGAGGUUACUUGACUAUAAUGCCCAUGUCUUCCUUCUACCAAUCUAAUGAAAUUUAAGCACUGUCUGCUCCAUACCUCCUAGGGAAGCAAGGAAAUUAUCUUGCUUCCCUAUCCUUUCAGGAACCUCUGUUAUGGAUUAUCCCAUCUCCUUGUAUUUCCAACAAUUUCUUCCCUAAGAUAUCCUUACUGCCAAUUAGUUGUGGUCAAGUCCCUUACGUAGUAAAACAAAAAACUCUUAAUCCUGCUUUCUCUCCUCUAGUCUCCAUAGCUGAAAUUUUCUGUAUUGAAUAGUUUGUCUUCCUUCUUCCCAUAUUCAGCCCUUCCAGUCUGACAUUUCACGCUUUAGUGGAAGCAACUCUCAAUGUUACCACUGAUACCCAUGUUGCUAAAUCUUGUAGAUGUCAUUGGUCUUCAUCUUGACCUCUUUGUAGCAUUUGACCCUGUUGAUCACUUUGUCCUAGAAGUAUUUUUGUUGUUGUUUUCAAGGCAACACAAUUUCUGUGCUUUCCUUCCUCUGCCUUCCCCUCACAUAUAUAUAUAUUUGCUUUUCUCCCCCUACCUCUGUCCACUAAGU